UGAGACCAUGCUAACUUUUUAACGAUUAUAUUUGCAGGUGCCUUUCGAUCAGAUUCGUUCUGGACAGAAGGUACAUCAGAAGGAUCGUCUGAUGGAAGUUAUAAAUGGGCAACAUCUCAGGAUCCUGUCACCUACACAAACUGGGACACAAACGAGCCGAACGCAACUGUGGGGGACUGCAUUGUGCUGAGAUUUGACCGAACCUGGCAAUCCAGGAAUUGUCACCAUGAUCAAGGCUUUAUCUGCGAGGUCAGUCGCCAACAGAGUGACUGUCAGACAACUGAUGGAGCGUCUGUCAUUGGAUAGAAUCGGAGAUAAAAUAUAUGCUAUAAUAAACCAGCAUCAGAAACAAGA